rnacentral:lncRNA from 1 species
GAGAGAGUAGGGAAGAAAAGGGGGUGGGAUGUUGGGCUUUAGGUUUGGGCUUGAGGGUGGGUUUGAAUUGUGGGCCGAGUCAGUGGGCUUACAAUUUUGGGCCGAUUUUAAUUGAGAGUUGGGCCGAUUUUCCUUGCUUGAAAUUUCGAAUUGGGCUGAGUAUUUGGGCCGAGAUUUUAUUAUUUUUGUUUCAGCUGGGC